CAUAUCAAUAAGCGGAGGAAAAGAAACCAACAGGGAUUGCCCCAGUAACGGCGAGUGAAGCGGCAACAGCUCAAAUUUGAAAUCUGGUCCCCAGGGCCCGAGUUGUAAUUUGCAGAGGAUGCUUUUGGUGAGGUGCCUUCCGAGUUCCCUGGAACGGGACGCCAUAGAGGGUGAGAGCCCCGUCUGGUUGGAUACCGAGCCUCUGUAAAGCUCCUUCGACGAGUCGAGUAGUUUGGGAAUGCUGCUCUAAAUGGGAGGUAUAUGUCUUCUAAAGCUAAAUAUUGGCCAGAGACCGAUAGCGCACAAGUAGAGUGAUCGAAAGAUGAAAAGCACUUUGAAAAGAGGGUUAAAUAGUACGUGAAAUUGUUGAAAGGGAAGCACUUAUGACCAGACUUGGCCCCGGUGAAUCAUCCAGCGGUUCCCGCUGGUGCACUUUGCCGGGGUUCAGGCCAGCAUCAGUUCGCUCCGGGGGAUAAAGGCUUUGGGAAUGUGGCUCCCUCGGGAGUGUUAUAGCCCAUUGCGUAAUACCCUGUGGCGGGCUGAGGUUCGCGCUUUAUGCAAGGAUGCUGGCAUAAUGGUCAUCAGUGACCCGUCUUGAAACACGGACCAAGGAGUCGUCUUCGUAUGCGAGUGUUCGGGUGUUAAACCCCUACGCGUAAUGAAAGUGAACGCAGGUGAGAGCCCUCCAGGGCGCAUCAUCGACCGAUCCUGAUGUUCUCGGAUGGAUUUGAGUAAGAGCAUACGGGGCCGGACCCGAAAGAAGGUGAACUAUGCCUGUAUAGGGUGAAGCCAGAGGAAACUCUGGUGGAGGCUCGCAGCGGUUCUGACGUGCAAAUCGAUCGUCAAAUAUGGGCAUGGGGGCGAAAGACUAAUCGAACCUUCUAGUAGCUGGGUUUCCGCC
rnacentral:rRNA from 1 species